ensembl:ncRNA T21C9.15 ncRNA
GAAACUGAAUGGCAUGGACAGGCUAGUUGGCUAACCAGUACUUAAACAUUGAGUAAGCACAUCGGGUUCCGAGCGUAUUUUUACCUGUAGACUUCAUGACGUUGACAAUUAAACCAUGCAUAUACACUUCAGACGGUCAUCGUUGA